AAAUGAGACCAAUGGUAUUAAUGGUCAAAUAGGGUUAGAGAGGAAAGUGGGGCAAAAGAAGAAAAUAGUCAUGAUGUUAAUGGGGCACAUAGGGUAGAUACUGAAGUAGAGACAAGACUUAGAAGAGAUAUUUGAAUAUUACUUUGUCUUGGUUUGGAUGAUGAGGAUGAAGAGAUAAGGAGCAUAUUUAAGAAGUUUGAAACAUUUAGGGAGAAAGUGAAGAACAAGCUGUUGGGGUAGAUGAUCUAUUGCUUGGGGUCAUUCAAGGGGGAAAUACUCGCUGCUGUUGGGAAAGAUGGAAAAAACCAGAUAUUUUCAUUAGUUUGGACAGUUAUGGAGGGUGAGAACAGAAGACUCGGGCUUGGCUCCUUAAUAACUCCAAGAUUAAUCUUGGACUAAGAGAAGGGCAUCACAGUCAUCAGUGAUAAGCAGAAAGGCAAGUUGGAAGAGAUGUUUAUUAAUGAAUGGAAAUGCUUAUUUAAUCAUGUUUAACAUUUAUACGCAGAACAUUUAAUUUGUCUAUUGUUGGCCUUUUUGAAGUUCACUUUCACUUGUUUUGCCCCUGUUUGAUGUUUUAUUGGUUGCAACACUCUAUGUUUACUGUUAUGUUUAAUGGUUUUUUAUGAUUUCCAA